rnacentral:lncRNA from 1 species
GUUUUUAUGUUCUCACAGUCUGGAGAUCUGCCUGAGCAUUUACCCUGAGGGUAGUGGGCAUUUACUACAAAUAAAAUAAGUGCUUUUUAAACUCUUUUGGAAAAAAUUAAUCAGGAUGGAACUCUUUGUUUAAUUCAUACCCUUAUUCCUCCAGUGCAUCCUGCAGAAUAGUCCUGAAAAUUCUGCCUUUCCCUGUCUUCAUCUUCAGUAAGUUUAGUCAGUUCCUGAGGACACUACAAUUCCACCAUUAGGGGAAGGUGCAUAAAGUCCUGGAUUUUGGAAACAGAAGGAUUCAGCAUGUGUUCUCCUGGAGUGAAGGAAAACUUCCAAAGACAUCAAGAUGCUGAUCUUGAUGAAGAUCAUAGAUGAAGAUCGUCUAUGAAGACAAAGAGAAUGGAAAGAGCAUCUCUGUGGUUGUAGGAGAUAAUCAGGCAGGAGCCUGCUAGGAAGAUUUCUCAGGAUAGCUACCUAAACAUUAAGCAGUUCAGCUGCUGAAUAGCCAGUGUCAUCUGGAUUUGAAAGGAGACAGAUCUGCAAAAAAUACUGAGAUAUGUUGGUAUGUUUUGAUAUUAUUCUAGACAGCUAGAAGAAAAGAUAAUAUUUGCUGUUAAAUACAAUAAGACCUUUCUAAAUAAUCAAAUAUUUAAAUUGACCUCAGGAUGUAG